AACAAGGUGCCAGGCUGGAUAAAAACAAGGUAGAGGGUUGAAUUUGGCCCGUGGGCCUUGUGUUUGCAACCUGUGACUUAGAGUGUACAGGAAAUGUAGCAAUUGUCUCCUGGUAGUUAGCCGUCUCUCCAUCUGGCUUCCAGGAACCUUCAAGCCCCCAAACCUGAGAUUAGAAAUAAGGUAGCCUUAUCUCACUAAGUCAACUUCUGCCCAGGGGCCUGGACUGGAGGGCGAAAAGCAGUCUUUCUACUCAAGGACCGCUAUUUCACAUUUCCCAGGCUCCUGAAGAAUUGCAGACAGCAUUGGGAAUGGGGGUCUCUAGAAUGGGUGGGGCUGGGGCCUUCUUUUUCUCAGACUGUUGCUUUCUGUGGUCACACACUAGUUUCUGGACUGUGGAAUAGGUAGGUUUGUCACUGGGCACUGGGAAGCAUGCCUGAUGGGAGACUUGAAAGGCCCCCACUGCCCUUGGCUGGGCUGGGAACGGAGGGAACAUGGGAGAUGGGCCUGUAUCGCCGCACCCUUUACUAUGGCAAAGCCUUAGCAGUUACUGCAGGACGAAUUUUAGGGUCACUGUGUGGAUGCUGUAGGCCCCUCCCAACAGCAGAGCGAGCUUUGCCCAGCUCAGCACUAGGUGAAGGGCACAUCCUCGAAUCAUAUCAUGAUAACUACACAGUGAUAGGCCUGAGCCCCGUCUUCAGGCCCAAGAGGGCUGAGGUUGAGCUUUUCCUGUUUCCUUUUGCAAACAGGCCUUCCCGACUUCUUGGCUGGGUCUGCCAGUGUGACAUCUGGGCAUGACGGGUUUGAUACCUUGCUGGCCCGGCCUUGCUCCUGGGUCCUCAGGCAGCUGAUCUGAGAGCCUUUGGAGCUGCUGUGGUGGGUGGUGCCAGGGUGCCAUGCUCACCUGGCAUCCUCUGAAAUGGCAAUUAUAGUGGAAGGAGGCAGCUCCGAGUCACGCAGGCCUAGGGUGUCCUUGUGGGCCACUUAGGACCUAUGUGACCCAGGGGCAAUUUAUUUCACUCUCUGAGUCUCAGGGGUUUUUUAAUCUGUUGGAUGGGCAUGAUCUUUUCAUGACAAAGUAGUGGAGUGAUUCAAUUAAAUACUAAAUGUUAAGCAGCUUUCUUAGCUCUGUGGCCACAUCUAUUGUUGCCCUUCUUUUGGUUUCAUUGCCAUUGAGGUCAUUCCCACAGAUAGUGGCACAAGGCUGCCUUGUCCCCUCCGGCCUGCAGAACAUGUGACUGCCUGUCUCUUCAGGGUGCCUGACUCCUACCUUCAGCAGCCCCUUCAGAAACAGUUAAGGAGAUCAAUAGUUAUCUGCUUACCUUUCUGGCUCAGAUGAGAUUUUAUGCUUGUUACUAGCAGAUCGAUAGCGAACGCACAUUCUGUUAAGUUUUCCGUAGGAGUCAUUAAUCUCCCUCAGCCUCAGUUUCCCUACUUGUGAAGUGAGUCUAACCAGGACGAUAAUGGAGAGUUGGGUCAAGUGAGGCUGGCAGCCAGACACCCACGACUGGCUGUGACAUGGGAGCACGUGUUCGCCCACAGCCCCAGGUCAGCCGCCGUCAUUCAGCCUGGAGUAACGAACUGCCACACUGAGGGCUUUUCUGUCCUUCCUCGGCCACACAGCUCAGCCGAGGCUCUCACUCCAAAACUGGUCACAGACACUUCAGUACGACAAAGUGCCAUUUGAGAGCAAACAGUAGAGAAAUGUAUGUUCUUGUUUUUCUUCUAAUGACUCUUACAAAUUUUCAUUCCUCCCUUGGAAGUUUUCAAAUACGGCUGCAUGCAUUUCCCAUGCAUUUUACACAUUGACUAUUGAAACUGGGUCUGGACAGGUGUGGCUCUUUGUGAUCUCGUAACCUUGCUGUCCAGGGUAACAGUAUAGCCUGGAAAGGGCCACUACUGAGCACCCAAGCCAGGGCUUGUACUGAUGGGCAGGUGCCAUUCUGGGGUCUUUGCAACGAUAGGAGGGGAGUUUGGAAAUCAUCAGAACAUUUGUCACUAGAGCGGCUGAUAACCAAAGCGUGCAUCGGUAUGGGUAACAGUUGUCGGAGGAGUGGGAGGGGGCGGUGACAGAUAGUCGGGUGACUUUAACGUUUAUAUUCCACUGGGGUGAGCUCUAACAAAGGCCUGUCAUUUCCCAGAUAACCAAUCCUUUUAAAAGAACAUCUGUUGAAACUGGCAAUUUACAUUCUUCUUAAAAUACGCAGUGACAUAAUUAACCCUCUGGGGAGACUAAUAUUAGUUUAUUAAAGACAAUUUCUAGUUCUGUUUAUUUUUACACUAAAUGAUUUGUGCAUAUUGGAAAAAAAAUUUUUUUAGUUGUGGUGUGGGUUCAGUGUUAUUUGGGGUUGAUUCUCCCUUGUUGAGGACACAGGUAAGUAGCUGGGUGAUGAUGUAUGGGCGCAAUGGUCGUCGCCCAGGCACUAAUGGAAGCAUGCUGAAAAUGCUCGUGUUGUUUGACAUUUGAAUAACUUGGCAAUGCGCUAACUUUGGGGUAUAAUUAGUCUGUUUUAAAGUGACCUGACCUGCCGUGUGUGUGUGUGUGUGUGUAUGUGAGCUAAGUGGCUCCUUUUGUCUCCAGUCACGGUGGUGGGCUCCUUUAGCACCCAUAGUUGGUGGGGUUUUCUCAUGCUCAUUGCUGUAGUUCCUAUAAACUGAUCCAUACUCUCCACAAGAAGAUCGUGGACCCUCAGUUCUUUCUCACAUUGGACUAAUUUCAAUCAGAGAAGAGGGAAGACAGGGCCUUUUGACACUGUGCAGAGGCCAAAUGAAGCUAUAGUCCUGCUAAUUGUUCAGACAGCCUCCUCUGAAUUGCAAAGCACCAUUUGAAUAUCCAGUCAUUUUGCCCUCAGUCCUAUAUCCCACAGCAAACAGCCAACUCCUGUUUUCCUCACGAUGACUCUUCAAAUGUGGGCAUUCCCUUUCCAAAGUAACUCUUCACUUCUCAUCUCCCACCUAAGCAUUCAGUUACUCAAAGAGCCCUCCCCCAUUAGCACUUGCCCUACUGCAAAACAGGAUUCAUUAACAGCAGCUCACAGAAUAAAACUAGCAAUCGGCUCAAGUGAAAGUCACCGUGAGCUCCUCGGCUCAGCUCACAAGCCGCUGACCUGGCUCCAGGUCACUGCUCUGGCCUCCUUCGCUUCCACUUCUGCAGCCAAACUGAACUGAGCUCCCCGGGCUGACUCAUCUGUGCCAGUUGUGCUAACCCUCUCCCCAGGUUCCCGCUCCUGCCCUCUAUUCACAUGCCCGUUAACAAACUGCUCUUUGUCCAUCAAAUACCAGCACUCGGCACGUUGUCUUCUGUGAAGCCUCCCCAGACCUUUACUUACCUAGACAACUGGUCAUCUCCUCUCUCCAGCUGCCUGACACAUGGGCACUUCUGUAUCAUAGUUGUCCAACUGCACGGUCAUCUUUCCCAUUGGAUGAAAUGUCCCUUGGGAAAAGGACCAUGUUUCAUUCUAGUUCUAACCUCGACCUACACCAAAUAGCUGCUCAGUGAACGGUUGUUGAAUUUAGUUCUUCCCUUCCCCCGGCUGAUCUGUAUUUAAGGUCUAAUUGCACUUGGUGCCUUGUUUUCAAUGAAAUAUGGGUUGCAUCACAUGUGUGUGGGAGUGAUUAGAGAAUCCGAUCAACCUGGGAAUUGCUGACUCACACCUGGAGUUUCUUUAUUUGCAACCUGGAAGAAGAGAACUGAAUUUGAACCCCCUGGAGAAAAUUCCAGCACGUGAAACUAUUUUGCAUAACAGUCAUUUGAAGAUUGGGAUGGGGGUGGGUACAGGUGCCCCUGGAGACCUGAGAGUCACCGCCACUCAUUGCACUGCCUUCCACCCCCUCCCUUAGCGGCCUUCAUCAAGAUUGUGCAGCCCACAGUGCUGCUGAGUGGCAUCACUUGGCGUGAUCCCUGCACAUGAAACGUGUUCAGCGUAAUAAGUGAUUCUCUAAGGCACAGAGUGGAGGGUGUGGGCGUGUACUCUCUAGAUUUCUGAAACUUGGCAUUCUCCCUUGAAAAUUCCUGGCUUGCACAUCACAGUUAAAUGAACACCAGAAGAUAAGUGGCAGUGUAGCUCAAGGGGCACUUCUGUAGCAAGGAAAACAGAUAGUCCCACAGACACUGUGUGUACCGCUUGUUAGGGGUGAGGGGGCUCCACUAAAGGCCAGUGGAGCCUUCAUGAGGCAUGGGUUACCAGGCACACAAUCAUCGAGGAGACACGUCUCCUGAAAAUGUGGAUAUAUGUGUGUAUCUUCAAACUGAGUAAUUUAUUUUUUCUUCUCUAUCACUAGCCACUGGGCAAGUGACCCAGGAUAGUGGUCCACUGAAUGGACCACCUCAAUGAUUCUUCAGCAAUUCAGUCCAUUCCUUUAACUUCCUAGCCUGUCUUUUAUCUCUGUAUGUAAAACCCACCACCCCACAAUGUGUGGAAUCAAAUAUAUUCAACAUCUAAGCUACACUGGAUUGACUGUGGUUAACAUAAGAGCGCUUUGCUGCAUCUAGAACCAUAGCAACGAACAAGAGAUGCUCUGUGACCUUGGGGACAGAGCCCAGGGCCUGCCACUGGGAGGUGUUUACUCAAUCUGUGUUUCCCUGCUGUCCCCAAUGAGACUGGGUUCAUGUUGGAAUUUUCUGUAUGUCCUGGCUUAGGGAAGUUUUAUUGUGGUGCUCGUGUGCAACAACCUUCCGAGUUGUAACCGAGGGAGUUAGCGAGCUCUUAGAGAACAUGCAUCACCAUAUCCAAAUAGGUUUUCCCCUUAAUUUGUAGCCUUUUGACAAAUUACCAGGAGCUUCGUCCCUGAUAUACUGAAUGGUGAACGCUCAGUGUGCCUGCAUCCAGUUCCCAAGUCCUUUACCCCUGUCAGACAUUACUAAUCAAUCAUGAUCGUGCUCAGCACACUACUCCAGGUAACCACUACUAAUCAUCCAGAGUCAGUAUGGGAGCUACUUUUUAUCUGUCACCCUUGCAAAGUGGUAUUUUGGUAAAGAACACCGCAGUUCAUCCUGCAGGAUGCAGACUGGCCCCAGGUAUAGCAGUCAUACCUUCAGGGACCUUGUUCCCUGUGAUGUUGUACAGUCACGGGUUGGCCUUCCUCCUGGGAGAAGGCUGG